AGUCCAAACACAUGCAGAAGUUGUCGCCACCUCAAUGUUUGUACUAUCUAUCAUUAGAUUCAAUCUCAUGCAACUGUUUUCCCAAAGUGCACAAAGUUCUCAUCACCUAAGGAAGAUGAUUGUUGAUCUUGAGUUUUUUAGCUGAUUCCUUUCGGGCACCUAGGUUUGAUAAAUUCAGUCAGGAUCCUGCAAUAUCUUAUGUGCGGUCGGAGAAAAGAUUAAACAAUGAUCAGCGAAGAGCCAUCCAAAAGAUACUUACAGCAAAGGAUUAUGCUCUUAUUCUUGGAAUGCCUGGAACAGGCAAGACAUCCACUAUGGUUAAUGCUGUGAAGGCAUUGCUAAUGAGAGGUGCAUCUAUUUUGCUGACAUCAUAUACAAACUCAGCUGUUGAUAAUUUGCUUAUCAAAUUGAAAGCUCAGCAAAUACCCCUUGUCCAUUAUCCUAGUUGGAGUUGGAGAUGGCCCUUGGGACAUGAUGAGGGAAUUUAAUGACAACAUCUUUGCUUGAGCCUUUGAUAAUUUCCAGGAAUGAGACAUGCUCCAAGUAUUCUAUCACAAGACAGUUACAUGUAAAGUAAAGUUAGAGCUCUUCAAGAUGUGGAAUCAACCUCUCAAGCUAUUCAUCAUUUUCAACCAAUUCAUUACAAUGGUUACUUAACCCAAGACAUAGCUUUAGAUGUGGGUGGAUACAUUGAACCAAAUUUCUAUGUGUUAAUUGUAUUAUUUAUGAUAGAAGUUCGAAAAUUGUAUUAUAUAUUUAACACAUUU